AGUGAACGCUGGCGGUAGGCCUAACACAUGCAAGUCGAACGGCGGCACAGUAAGAGCUUGCUCUUACGGGUGGCGAGUGGCGGACGGGUGAGGAAUACAUCGGAAUCUACUUUUUCGUGGGGGAUAACGUAGGGAAACUUACGCUAAUACCGCAUACGACCUACGGGUGAAAGCAGGGGAUCUUCGGACCUUGCGCGAUUGAAUGAGCCGAUGUCGGAUUAGCUAGUUGGCGGGGUAAAGGCCCACCAAGGCGACGAUCCGUAGCUGGUCUGAGAGGAUGAUAAGCCACACUGGAACUGAGACCCGGUCCAGACUCCUACGGGAGGCAGCAGUGGGGAAUAUUGGACAAUGGGCGCAAGCCUGAUCCAGCCAUACCGCGUGGGUGAAGAAGGCCUUCGGGUUGUAAAGCCCUUUUGUUGGGAAAGAAAAGCAGCAGGUUAAUACCCCGCUGUUCUGACGGUACCCAAAGAAUAAGCACCGGCUAACUUCGUG
rnacentral:rRNA from 1 species